AUUGAACGCUGGCGGCAGGCCUAACACAUGCAAGUCGAACGGUAGCACAGAGAGCUUGCUCUCGGGUGACGAGUGGCGGACGGGUGAGUAAUGUCUGGGAAACUGCCCGAUGGAGGGGGAUAACUACUGGAAACGGUAGCUAAUACCGCAUAACGUCGCAAGACCAAAGUGGGGGACCUUCGGGCCUCACACCAUCGGAUGUGCCCAGAUGGGAUUAGCUAGUAGGUGGGGUAAUGGCUCACCUAGGCGACGAUCCCUAGCUGGUCUGAGAGGAUGGCCAGCCACACUGGAACUGAGACACGGUCCAUACUCCUACGGGAGGCAGCAGUGGGGAAUAUUGCACAAUGGGCGCAAGCCUGAUGCAGCCAUGCCGCGUGUAUGAAGAAGGCCUUCGGGUUGUAAAGUACUUUCAGCGGGGAGGAAGGCGGUGAAGUUAAUAGCUUCACCGAUUGACGUUACCCGCAGAAGAAGCACCGGCUAACUCCGUGCCAGCCGCCGCAGUAA
rnacentral:rRNA from 1 species